rnacentral:rRNA from 1 species
GGUUAAGCGACUAAGCGUACACGGUGGAUGCCCUGGCAGUCAGAGGCGAUGAAGGGCGUGCUAAUCUGCGAUAAGCGCCGGUAAGGUGAUAUGAACCGUUAUAACCGGCGAUACCCGAAUGGGGAAACCCAGUGUGACUCGUCACACUAUCAUUAACUGAAUCCAUAGGUUAAUGAGGCGAACCGGGGGAACUGAAACAUCUAAGUACCCCGAGGAAAAGAAAUCAACCGAGAUUCCCCCAGUAGCGGCGAGCGAACGGGGAGUAGCCCAGAGCCUGAAUCAGCAUGUGUGUUAGUGGAAGCGUCUGGAAAGGCGCGCGAUACAGGGUGACAGCCCCGUACACAAAAGCGCAUGUGCUGUGAGCUCGAUGAGUAGGGCGGGACACGUGGUAUCCUGUCUGAAUAUGGGGGGACCAUCCUCCAAGGCUAAAUACUCCUGACUGACCGAUAGUGAACCAGUACCGUGAGGGAAAGGCGAAAAGAACCCCGGCGAGGGGAGUGAAAAAGAACCUGAAACCGUGUACGUACAAGCAGUGGGAGCACCCUUUGGGGUGUGACUGCGUACCUUUUGUAUAAUGGGUCAGCGACUUAUAUUCUGUAGCAAGGUUAACCGAAUAGGGGAGCCGUAGGGAAACCGAGUCUUAAUUGGGCGUUAAGUUGCAGGGUAUAGACCCGAAACCCGGUGAUCUAGCCAUGGGCAGGUUGAAGGUUGGGUAACACUAACUGGAGGACCGAACCGACUAAUGUUGAAAAAUUAGCGGAUGACCUGUGGCUGGGGGUGAAAGGCCAAUCAAACCGGGAGAUAGCUGGUUCUCCCCGAAAGCUAUUUAGGUAGCGCCUCGUGAACUCAUCUCCGGGGGUAGAGCACUGUUUCGGCUAGGGGGCCAUCCCGGCUUACCAACCCGAUGCAAACUGCGAAUACCGGAGAAUGUUAUCACGGGAGACACACGGCGGGUGCUAACGUCCGUCGUGAAGAGGGAAACAACCCAGACCGCCAGCUAAGGUCCCAAAGUCAUGGUUAAGUGGGAAACGAUGUGGGAAGGCCCAGACAGCCAGGAUGUUGGCUUAGAAGCAGCCAUCAUUUAAAGAAAGCGUAAUAGCUCACUGGUCGAGUCGGCCUGCGCGGAAGAUGUAACGGGGCUAAACCAUGCACCGAAGCUGCGGCAGCGACACUGUGUGUUGUUGGGUAGGGGAGCGUUCUGUAAGCCUGUGAAGGUGGCCUGUGAGGGUUGCUGGAGGUAUCAGAAGUGCGAAUGCUGACAUAAGUAACGAUAAAGCGGGUGAAAAGCCCGCUCGCCGGAAGACCAAGGGUUCCUGUCCAACGUUAAUCGGGGCAGGGUGAGUCGACCCCUAAGGCGAGGCCGAAAGGCGUAGUCGAUGGGAAACGGGUUAAUAUUCCCGUACUUGGUGUUACUGCGAAGGGGGGACGGAGAAGGCUAUGUUGGCCGGGCGACGGUUGUCCCGGUUUAAGCGUGUAGGUGUGUGUUCCAGGUAAAUCCGGUUCACUUUAACACUGAGGCGUGACGACGAGGCACUACGGUGCUGAAGCAACAAAUGCCCUGCUUCCAGGAAAAGCCUCUAAGCAUCAGGUAACAUCAAAUCGUACCCCAAACCGACACAGGUGGUCAGGUAGAGAAUACCAAGGCGCUUGAGAGAACUCGGGUGAAGGAACUAGGCAAAAUGGUGCCGUAACUUCGGGAGAAGGCACGCUGACACGUAGGUGAAGUGAUUUACUCACGGAGCUGAAGUCAGUCGAAGAUACCAGCUGGCUGCAACUGUUUAUUAAAAACACAGCACUGUGCAAACACGAAAGUGGACGUAUACGGUGUGACGCCUGCCCGGUGCCGGAAGGUUAAUUGAUGGGGUCAGCGCAAGCGAAGCUCCUGAUCGAAGCCCCGGUAAACGGCGGCCGUAACUAUAACGGUCCUAAGGUAGCGAAAUUCCUUGUCGGGUAAGUUCCGACCUGCACGAAUGGCGUAAUGAUGGCCAGGCUGUCUCCACCCGAGACUCAGUGAAAUUGAACUCGCUGUGAAGAUGCAGUGUACCCGCGGCAAGACGGAAAGACCCCGUGAACCUUUACUAUAGCUUGACACUGAACAUUGAGCCUUGAUGUGUAGGAUAGGUGGGAGGCUUUGAAGCGUGGACGCCAGUCUGCGUGGAGCCGACCUUGAAAUACCACCCUUUAAUGUUUGAUGUUCUAACGUGGACCCGUAAUCCGGGUUGCGGACAGUGUCUGGUGGGUAGUUUGACUGGGGCGGUCUCCUCCUAAAGAGUAACGGAGGAGCACGAAGGUUGGCUAAUCCUGGUCGGACAUCAGGAGGUUAGUGCAAUGGCAUAAGCCAGCUUGACUGCGAGCGUGACGGCGCGAGCAGGUGCGAAAGCAGGUCAUAGUGAUCCGGUGGUUCUGAAUGGAAGGGCCAUCGCUCAACGGAUAAAAGGUACUCCGGGGAUAACAGGCUGAUACCGCCCAAGAGUUCAUAUCGACGGCGGUGUUUGGCACCUCGAUGUCGGCUCAUCACAUCCUGGGGCUGAAGUAGGUCCCAAGGGUAUGGCUGUUCGCCAUUUAAAGUGGUACGCGAGCUGGGUUUAGAACGUCGUGAGACAGUUCGGUCCCUAUCUGCCGUGGGCGCUGGAGAACUGAGGGGGGCUGCUCCUAGUACGAGAGGACCGGAGUGGACGCAUCACUGGUGUUCGGGUUGUCAUGCCAAUGGCACUGCCCGGUAGCUAAAUGCGGAAGAGAUAAGUGCUGAAAGCAUCUAAGCACGAAACUUGCCCCGAGAUGAGUUCUCCCUGAGACUUAGAGUCUCCUGAAGGAACGUUGAAGACGACGACGUUGAUAGGCCGGGUGUGUAAGCGCAGCGAUGCGUUGAGCUAACCGGUACUAAUGAACCGUGAGGCUUAACCUU